AAUGAUUUUUUUCCUUGUGAAAAAAAAUGCAAUGGAUUCCAUUAGAACUCCACAGUUAAGCGCGCUUGGGUUAGAGUAGCACUGGGAUGGGUGACCUCUCAAGAAAUCCUAGUGUUUUCCCUA
rfam:Picea glauca, whole genome shotgun sequence.